GCGAACAGUGAAGUAAUUACAGCGAUGUCAUGAUCCAGUGCAGUGUGUCUCCAUGAGCUUUGGAAGGUUUUGAAGCCAUAAGGGACACUGAACUAGAAAAAAUGGAUAAUUGAGCUUGGUGAGGUGGAAAUGUGCUUCGAGAGUUGAAUUUCCUUUAUCCAGAGUCCACACGGAGAUUGCUUCUUCUAUCUGCAUAAUAAAUACAUACAUAAAUAACAUUCGAACUCUUAUUUGAUUAAGUAAACAAAUACAAGAUCACUCUUAGAGGGGAACAUUGCUGCACCGUCAUGUGAAGUCCAAUGUUGAACAGUAAAAUUUUGUUACGAGGUUCCAAAAAGUGCUGCUUUCAACAGACUUCUUCGCAGAGACUUUGGACCAGAGUGUUUGUCCUGAGAAAUGGGAACAGCCAAACUAGAUUGGCAAUGGAGAGGGAAAUAGAAGAUGAAGCAUGAACCACGUGUUUGAAAGCUAUAAAGCCCCUCCUAUAUCUAUAUCUCUUCUCUGUGUAUAGAGGGAGGGAUUUGGUUUGGUUUGGCGGUGGUUGGAAAGGCAGAAAUUUUUUUCCCAUACUCUUUUGGACUCUUAUCCAAUUUCAUGGAAUGCAGCUACGCAGAGA